GUACAUUAAGCUGAUUGACUGGUGAGCAUGUAGAGACAGUACAUUAAGCUGAAUGAUUAGUGAGACAGUACAUUAAGCUGAUUGAUUGAUGAGCAAAGUGGAAAAUCUAUCACGCAGUAUAAUCAGGAGUUUUAAAUGCAUUACUAUCGAUGCCCAAUCUCCUUCAGAAUGCAGCAGAUGGCAACAGCAGCAAUUUGCUGAAAUUGUCAUUUUUACCAGCAGCUUGAGUGAAAUAAUGGAACAGGGCAGUUCCUUUCUCACUCAGUGUCCUUGUCGACAGCUAGACCAAAACAGGAAGCUGUUGAGGCAACUCAUCUCUGUCUCUCUAAAGGCUUCAUCUCUCACAGAGACUUGAUUUGCUGCUGUCCCGAUAUAUUUUGUUAUGUUUAACUGGUUAAUUAUCAGGUAGAACAGAAAAUCAGCAGAAAUCUGAACCUCAAAGCCAGUUCCAUUGUUAUUUUUAUUCUUCUCCUCUAAUCCAGGUCUGAUUUAGACCUGGGACACCAAGUGGGUGCUAUUAAUUAUCAGGUAGAACAGAAAAUCAGCAGUACUCUAGACCUCCAGGAUCUGAUUUGAAUAUCCCUGUACUACACCAUGAAAUGAUAUUGUCAGCUAAAGAUUAUCCCAGUUUUGUACAUAUGUUUGUUAUUCGCCUUGCCUGGGAUAAAGCAGAACACACAUGUUAAUUUGUGAACACUGAAUGGGCAAUAAUGUAAUCUUCUUCUCCUAGAUGCUACACAACAAGCAUGUGAUGGUGCGUGUGGGAGGAGGCUGGGAGACCUUUGAGAGUUACCUUCUGAAACACAACCCAUGUCGGAUGCUCCAGAUCUCCAGAGUGGAGGGGAAGACCUCUCCCAUGUCCUCCAACACCAAGGACCUCACCUCAAACAGCUACCUAGUGGUGGCCGCACACCACCGCAGCAAGAAGUAAAGAUGGCCGCACCCCACCGCAGCAAGAAGUAAAGAUGGCCGCACCCCACCGCAGCAAGCAGUAAAGAUGGCCGCACCCCACCUCAGCUACAAGUAAAGAUGGCCGCACCUCAGCUACAAGUAAAUAUGGCCGCACACCACCGCAGCUACAAGUAAAGAUGGCCGCACCCCACUUCAGCAAGAAGUAAAGAUGGCCGCACCCCACUUCAGCAAGAAGUAAAGAUGGCCGCACCCCACUUCAGCAAGAAGAGACGAGGAGACGUCAGCUAGCAGAGGCAGCUGAGAAGAGACAGAAAGAGGUAUGACUGGUUUUGACAAGUGUUCCCGACACCCAUAUAGCCUGGGCCUACACUGUUACACUAAGGGCUGGUUUCCCGGACACAGAUUAAGCCUAGUCCUGGAGAAUCUCCAUUGAAAGUGCUUUUCAGUCCAGGACUAGGCUUCAUUUGUGUUUGGGAAACCAGCCCUUAUAUAACCUACACAUGGUGGUCCUUUGUGACUUAGUUGGAUUAGCGUGUGGUGAGGUUGUGGGUUCAUUACCCAACGGGACCCUGUACACAUACCUUUGUAUGCACUCACUGUACCAUAAAAAA